rnacentral:rRNA from 1 species
GACGAACGCUGGCGGCGUGCCUAAUACAUGCAAGUCGAGCGGAUCUUCAUUAGCUUGCUUUUGAAGAUCAGCGGCGGACGGGUGAGUAACACGUGGGCAACCUGCCUGUAAGACUGGGAUAACUUCGGGAAACCGGAGCUAAUACCGGAUAAUCCUUUUCCUCUCAUGGGGAAAAGCUGAAAGACGGUUUCGACUGUCACUUACAGAUGGGCCCGCGGCGCAUUAGCUAGUUGGUGAGGUAACGGCUCACCAAGGCGACGAUGCGUAGCCGACCUGAGAGGGGGAUCGGCCACACUGGGACUGAGACACGGCCCAGACUCCUACGGGAGGCAGCAGUAGGGAAUCUUCCGCAAUGGACGAAAGUCUGACGGAGCAACGCCGCGUGAGCGAUGAAGGCCUUCGGGUCGUAAAGCUCUGUUGUCAGGGAAGAACAAGUACCGGAGUAACUGCCGGUACCUUGACGGUACCUGACCAGAAAGCCACGGCUAACUACGUGCCAGCAGCCGCAGUAAUAC